AGUGCAAGUCAAGAUGAGAUUGACCGUUCCAAGUAAAAUUGGAGAUAAUGCAUCACUGUGUUUCAAUUUAGCAAAAUUUUGAUCAAAGUAGUUCUAGUGAGGAGUCAUAAAAUUUUUGAAGUUAAGACACAAUGUGAAUCACUCAUCCUAAAUUGACAAUUUAACUCUUAGUCAUCCUUGAGUAUCAAGUGUCAAAAAGAUGAAUUAUACAGUAACUAUAACCACAUGGGUUCUAGAGUGUUGUUGGGCAUACAUUCGACCUAUCCAGAUAUCGAAAACCAUUACUAGAUGAUAACAUCGAUUAGUAUAAAAAUUAUUCUUGUGCUACUGGCUUAGGUUCAAAUCUAUAGGGUCAUACAUAUAAAAGUACCUAUCUGAUCAAAUAGCUGAUAGACAAUUAUGAAUCGUUAAAGGGUUUAAUUAUCAAUUUGAUUGAUGAUUAAUCUUUUACAAAGAUUGUAAUAAAUUAUUUAUUAAUAAUUGAUAAAUUAAAAAAAUAAUUAAUUAAUAAUAUGAUUGUUAAUUAGUUCAAUUUGAUUGAGCAAUAGAGAUUGGAUCAGAUCUAAUUGAAUUGGAUUCAAUUAGAUUGGCUUUGGAUUGAUUGGAUGCAUCUCUAUUGGAUAACAAGGCUUGUUCCAAUUGAUCUCAGGAAUGUAAAUCAAAUUUUAAGUUGAAUAAGAUUUAAUUAAUUUUAUAUAGAUUUUGAUUAGAUCAAAUUCUAUUAGAUAAUAGGCUUG
rnacentral:lncRNA from 1 species